AAAAAAGAGAGCAACAUUUGUUUUUCAUGGGAUUUAUUGCUCCAUGUGGAGCACUGCUGCUCGAUCUGGAAAUGGACAUGAACAAUGGAAAAAAAAGGUUUUUGGGUUAGAAAUGGAAAGUUAUAUGAAUGAAGUAG
ensembl:ncRNA M01E11.9 ncRNA